GGGCGGCUAGCUCAGCUGGGAGAGCGCCGCGUUCGCAACGCGGAGGUCGCCGGUUCGAUCCCGGCGCCGUCCA
rfam:Acidobacteria bacterium RIFCSPLOWO2_12_FTLL_54_10 rifcsplowo2_12_scaffold_1110, whole genome shotgun sequence.